rnacentral:rRNA from 1 species
UAAGUAAGUGGUGGAAAUUAAACCAAAUGGGAUAUCUUUAGUAAUUGCGAAUGAACAAGGAUAUGCUUAGCUUGACAAAUGGAGCUAUUGGCUUUGAAUUGUAUUGUGGAAAUGUAUUACCAACAGAGGUGCAGGUGCCAGCCUAUUGAAAUAAAGCGUCAAUGAGGGUGAGAAUCCUGUUUGUCAUGUGCAGCCCUUUGUGCACGGUGUAUAUUUGCUGAGUCACACUCCUUGGCAUUGGAAUGCAAAGUGGGUGGUAAGUUUCAUGUAAAGGUAAACAUGCAAUUGAGACUGAUAGCACACAAGUACCAUGAGGGAAAUAUGAAAAGGACUUUGAAAAGAGAAUUAAAUGAGUUUGUAUUUGCUGAACACAAGGUAAACAGACUUGAUUUGCUUGGUGGGAGUGUUGCACUUGCUUGACAAGAGCUUUGGGCUGUGGGUGUAAUGAUUCUUUCUUUGCAUGCCAGUUUCUAUUUGUACAUCUGAUUACCUUUGCACAUGAAUGAUAAGUCUCCUGUGNGGGGGUGGAUUGCAUGUGCAUGUAAUGAUUUGUGUUUUGAUAAAUGUGUCUGGUGUAUGUGUGUGUUCCUGUGCUUGGGGAUGCUUCCUUCCUUGGACUUACAAGCCCUGACACACACAUGCUGGCAAAAUGCUUCUGCUUGACCCG